rnacentral:rRNA from 1 species
AUUGAACGCUGGCGGCAUGCUUUACACAUGCAAGUCGAACGGUAACAGGCCGCAAGGUGCUGACGAGUGGCGAACGGGUGAGUAAUGCAUCGGAACGUGCCCAGUCGUGGGGGAUAACGCAGCGAAAGCUGCGCUAAUACCGCAUACGAUCUGUGGAUGAAAGCGGGGGACCGAAAGGCCUCGCGCGAUUGGAGCGGCCGAUGUCAGAUUAGGUAGUUGGUGGGGUAAAGGCCCACCAAGCCAACGAUCUGUAGCUGGUCUGAGAGGACGACCGGCCACACUGGGACUGGGACACGGCCCAGACUCCUACGGGAGGCAGCAGUGGGGAAUUUUGGACAAUGGGCGCAAGCCUGAUCCAGCAAUGCCGCGUGCAGGAAGAAGGCCUUCGGGUUGUAAACUGCUUUUGUACGGAACGAAACGGUCUGGGUUAAUACCCCGGGCUAAUGACGGUACCGUAAGAAUAAGCACCGGCUAACUACGUGCCAGCCGCCGCCGUAAAAC